rnacentral:rRNA from 1 species
GGGCCCGCACAAGCGGUGGAGCAUGUGGUUUAAUUCGAUGAUACGCGAGGAACCUUACCAGGGCUUAAAUGUAGUCUGACAGCUUUAGAGAUAGAGUUUUCUUCGGACAGAUUACAAGGUGCUGCAUGGUUGUCGUCAGCUCGUGCCGUGAGGUGUCAGGUUAAGUCCUAUAACGAGCGCAACCCCUGUCGUUAGUUGCCAGCAUGUCAUGAUGGGGACUCUAACGAGACUGCCGGUGCAAACCGCGAGGAAGGUGGGGAUGACGUCAAAUCAUCACGGCCCUUACGUCCUGGGCCACACACGUGCUACAAUGGCCGGUACAGAGAGCAGCCACGUCGCAAGGCGGAGCGAAUCUAUAAAACCGGUCACAGUUCGGAUCGGAGUCUGCAACUCGACUCCGUGAAGCUGGAAUC